rnacentral:rRNA from 1 species
ACUGCUUUUAUAAGGGAAUAAAGUGAGUCUCGUGAGACUUUUUGCAUGUACCUUAUGAAUAAGGACCGGCUAAUUCCGUGCCAGCAGCCGCGGUAAUACGGAAGGUCCGGGCGUUAUCCGGAUUUAUUGGGUUUAAAGGGAGCGUAGGCCGGAGAUUAAGCGUGUUGUGAAAUGUAGACGCUCAACGUCUGCACUGCAGCGCGAACUGGUUUCCUUGAGUACGCACAAAGUGGGCGGAAUUCGUGGUGUAGCGGUGAAAUGCUUAGAUAUCACGAAGAACUCCGAUUGCGAAGGCAGCUCACUGGAGCGCAACUGACGCUGAAGCUCGAAAGUGCGGGUAUCGAACAGGAUUAGAUACCCUGGUAGUCCGCACGGUAAACGAUGGAUGCCCGCUGUUGGCCUGAAUAGGUCAGCGGCCAAGCGAAAGCAUUAAGCAUCCCACCUGGGGAGUACGCCGGCAACGGUGAAACUCAAAGGAAUUGACGGGGGCCCGCACAAGCGGAGGAACAUGUGGUUUAAUUCGAUGAUACGCGAGGAACCUUACCCGGGCUUGAAUUGCAGAGGAAGGAUUUGGAGACAAUGACGCCCUUCGGGGCCUCUGUGAAGGUGCUGCAUGGUUGUCGUCAGCUCGUGCCGUGAGGUGUCGGCUUAAGUGCCAUAACGAGCGCAACCCCUCUCCUUAGUUGCCAUCAGGUCAGGCUGGGCACUCUGGGGACACUGCCACCGUAAGGUGUGAGGAAGGUGGGGAUGACGUCAAAUCAGCACGGCCCUUACGUCCGGGGCUACACACGUGUUACAAUGGCAGGUACAGAGAGACGGUCCCUUGCAAAAGGGAUCAAAUCCUCAAAGCCUGUCUCAGUUCGGACUGGGGUCUGCAACCCGACCCCACGAAGC